rnacentral:rRNA from 1 species
UACGUAGGGUGCAAGCGUUGUCCGGAAUUAUUGGGCGUAAAGAGCUCGUAGGCGGUUCGUCGCGUCGGCUGUGAAAUCCCGGAGCUCAACUCCGGGUCUGCAGUCGAUACGGGCGGACUUGAGUACUGCAGGGGAGACUGGAAUUCCUGGUGUAGCGGUGAAAUGCGCAGAUAUCAGGAGGAACACCGGUGGCGAAGGCGGGUCUCUAGUACGGUACUGACGCUGAGACGCGAAAAGCGUGGGGAGCGAACAGG